GUUGUUGUUGUUGUUGUUGUUAUUAUUAUUAUUAUUAUUAUUAUUAUUAUUAUUAUUAUUAUUGAGAGGCUGGGUGGCCAUCUGUUGGGAGUGCUUGGAUUGUGUCCUGCAUGGCAGAUCAUGGGAGGUGUUAGCUGGCCCUGAUUGUUUAGUGUCUGGAAUUCCCCUGUUUUAAGAGUGUUGUUUUUUAUUUGGUGUUGUGAUUUUAAGCUUGUUAAAAUAUUAGGAGUCAGAUUGUGUUGAUUGUCAUGGUUCAUAGCAUAUAUUUAAAAUAUUGAGUAUUAAAAUGGGUUGGAUAUUGUAGAAGGUUGGAUAAGGGAGAGUGUAGUGGAGAUAAAUAAUUCAGAUGAUGGGCGGGUGCUAGGGCCCAGGGGACAGCUUUUUCCCAUUGCCUGCCUUUCCUCUAGCCGGCGAGCUGGAUUGUUCUGCUCUGGCCAUGAGGCUUCUCCUUCCCUCCCGGGAUGGCUCCCCGCGUCCAUGGUUCUCUCCUUUUAGUGAGGGAAAGUGGGUGCCGCCAUUGUUGCUCUCCUGGUCAGGAGAAGCAGGGGGAGCAGGGAGAGUGCUGUUGACAUGCUGGUCAUGGGAGGAGGGCAGAGGUUCUGCCGUAGAACAUGGAGGAGGCUUCCAGGAGAUCUUAAUCCAUAAUAAUAAUAAUAACAACAACAACAACAACAACAACAACAACAACAUUAUUUUACAAGCAGACCUAUCUCCUUAAGGCCAUGAAGUGAUAUUGACAUUCUUUCCCUGUCCAAGGUAAUCACCUUACAAAGUAGGAAGUAGAGCUUUCCUUUAGGCAGUGUUUCUCAAACUGUGCUCCUCCAGGUGUUUUGGACUUCAACUCCCAGAAAUCCCAGCCAGCAUACCAGCUGUUAGGAAUUGUGGGAGCUGAAUUAAAAAACAUCUGGAGGAGCACAGUUUGAGAAAUACUGCUUAAGAGCAUUUCCAGCUGCAAAGAGAGCUGUACAUAUUUGAAUGUUCCACCUAUAAACUCUCCUCUUU
rnacentral:lncRNA from 1 species